rnacentral:lncRNA from 1 species
UUGCAAGUUGUGAAGAUCCUCCAUAGAAGUGUGAAGUUGAAGUGCUUCCAAGAAGCCUUGUUCAAGCUUUUCUCACCAUCAUUCUUCAUCAUCAUUGCACUAAGAUUCCAACCCUAGCCUUGUGCUAGUAGUAGUCGUGUUUGCUGAGGAGAUUUGGGUUACGAGUACCGAAGACGCAAUACACGUGUGGCUGCAUGUGGUGACUAUGUCGUUCCACCGGAAGGACCGGAAAUUAAGUAUGGAUCUGGCAGGCGUUGGAAUUUCAAGUCAUGAUUAAGUAUAAAGAUGUCAUCCAUGGUUUUUAGGUUUGGCCAGUGUGUCUUAAUCCUGGACGAGACACGUCUUCCAAACUUGGAU